rnacentral:rRNA from 1 species
UAGCAGCCCGCGGUAAUACGUAGGUGGCAAGCGUUGUCCGGAAUUAUUGGGCGUAAAGGGCUCGCAGGCGGUUUCUUAAGUCUGAUGUGAAAGCCCCCGGCUCAACCGGGGAGGGUCAUUGGAAACUGGGGAACUUGAGUGCAGAAGAGGAGAGUGGAAUUCCACGUGUAGCGGUGAAAUGCGUAGAGAUGUGGAGGAACACCAGUGGCGAAGGCGACUCUCUGGUCUGUAACUGACGCUGAGGAGCGAAAGCGUGGGGAGCGAACAGGAUUAGAUACCCUGGUAGUCCACGCCGUAAACGAUGAGUGCUAAGUGUUAGGGGGUUUCCGCCCCUUAGUGCUGCAGCUAACGCAUUAAGCACUC